rnacentral:rRNA from 1 species
UCAAUAAGCGGAGGAAAAGAAACCAACCGGGAUUGCCCUAGUAACGGCGAGUGAAGCGGCAAGAGCUCAAAUUUGAAAGCUGGCCCCCUCGGGGUCCGCAUUGUAAUUUGCAGAGGAUGCUUCGGGAGCGGUCCCCAUCUAAGUGCCCUGGAACGGGCCGUCAUAGAGGGUGAGAAUCCCGUAUGGGAUGGGGUGCCCGCGCCCGUGUGAAGCUCCUUCGACGAGUCGAGUUGUUUGGGAAUGCAGCUCUAAUUGGGUGGUAAAUUUCAUCUAAAGCUAAAUAUUGGCCGGAGACCGAUAGCGCACAAGUAGAGUGAUCGAAAGAUGAAAAGCACUUUGAAAAGAGAGUUAAACAGCACGUGAAAUUGUUGAAAGGGAAGCGCUUGCGAUCAGACUCGCUCGCGGGGUUCAGCCGGCCUUCGGGCCGGUGUACUUCCCCGCGGGCGGGCCAGCGUCGGUUUGGGCGGCCGGUCAAAGGCCCCUGGAAUGUAACGCCUCUCGGGGCGUCUUAUAGCCAGGGGUGCCAUGCGGCCUGCCCGGACCGAGGAACGCGCUUCGGCUCGGACGCUGGCAUAAUGGUCGUAAGCGACCCGUCUUGAAACACGGACCAAGGAGUCUAACAUCUACGCGAGUGUUCGGGUGUCAAACCCGUGCGCGCAGUGAAAGCGAACGGAGGUGGGAACCCCUCGGGGUGCACCAUCGACCGAUCCUGAUGUCUUCGGAUGGAUUUGAGUAAGAGCGUAGCUGUUGGGACCCGAAAGAUGGUGAACUAUGCCUGAAUAGGGCGAAGCCAGAGGAAACUCUGGUGGAGGCUCGCAGCGGUUCUGACGUGCAAAUCGAUCGUCAAAUUUGGGUAUAGGGGCGAAAGACUAAUCGAACCAUCUAGUA